UUCUGGUAUUGUUGAACUGCAAUUUUCCUAGAGCCUCAUAAAGAUGUUUUUCACUAGCUUUUCCAUCUGUGCAAGAUAGCCAUAGCCCUCCCAGUAAGCAGUGUGGCAUGUGAACGGAGCUUCUCUGUCAGGAUCUGGAGUCAUCUGCUGCCUGCUACUAACACUAUUCCAACACUAGGUGCCGCCAGCAGGAGAGUGCCUGAGACGACAGGUGUGGCGCAUUGAUUCAUCAGCUGGGAGGCAUAAAGAGGAUGGAUUGCCAACACUUCGUUGCCUUCGUUGCCUGAGCGUUUUGUUUUGGUGCGAUUUCUGGCUGACCUGAUCCAGACCUCCGUUUGUGGUGCGGACUCCUUCCUGGAUAAGGACUGAACCUGGCAGGCUGUGCUCCUCUCCUGACACGGUACCUCUCCCUGGCGGGUUCCACGAUUUCCCCAUGACAGGGAUUAGGCUCGCCGCUUCCCGUUAGUCCUGACCGUGCUUUCAAUAAACUUCUCUAACUGAUCUUGUUCUCUGAGUGUCUCUGCAUGUGGGUUAAGUCGGCAGUUAAAAUCAUGACAUUCUCUGCUCUGAAACUCAUUAAGACCCGUUUGCGCACAACAAUGACUGAUGACAGAUUGAGCAACCUGGGUGUCCUCAGCAUUGAGUCGAGAAGAGCAAAGUCACUUGACAUGGACAAGUUUAUUACAGUUUUUGCUACCAACCAUCAAAACAGACAAAUUCAUCUGAUGUAAGAUGGAUAAACACAGAAUUUGCCAUGUGUUCUAAAAUUUUGUUUUGAGAUUUGUUUGGUUUAUGUUAGAACCAUAAUGUGCAAUUUUCAUCUCUUAUAUUAUGAAGAAGCACCUCUGCACUAAAGUUAUAUUUUGUUUUUCAUUGCAUUGCACUUGUUAAGUGUUGUCUUAUAGUAUGUGCAAUUUUCAUCUCUUAUAUUACACUAAAGUUUAAUUUGGUCUGGCAUUGCAUAGAACUUGUUGUGAAGUGUUGUGUUAUAGUUUUAUACCAUACAUAUGUUACAGGAUUUUGUGGCAAGAGAACGAGAAAAGUGUACAAAUAGCUACCUAUUUUGCACUUUGUUUAAAAUAUAUUCUUAAUUGUAUAUAGUUUUUUUGUUUUUUUGUUUUUUGCAGUCAUAACAAUUUAAUUUAAAUAAAGUUGU